CUACGGGCGGCUGCAGUGAGGAAUAUUGCACAAUGGGGGGAACCCUGAUGCAGCAACGCCGCGUGGAGGAUGACGCAUUUCGGUGUGUAAACUCCUUUUAUAUGUCAAGAAAAUGACGGUAGCAUAUGAAUAAGCACCGGCUAACUCCGUGCCAGCAGCCGCGGUAAUACGGAGGGUGCAAGCGUUACUCGGAAUCACUGGGCGUAAAGGACGCGUAGGCGGGUUGGAAAGUCAGGUGUGAAAUCCUACAGCUUAUCUGUAGAACUGCACUUGAAACUUCUAAUCUAGAGUAUGGGAGGGGGAGAUGGAGUUAGUGGUGUAGGGGUAAAAUCCGUAGAUAUCACUAGGAAUACCUAAAGCGAAGGCGAUCUCCUGGAACAUUACUGACGCUAAGGCGUGAAAGCGUGGGGAGCAAACAGGAUUAGAUACCCUAGUAGUC
rnacentral:rRNA from 1 species